UGAAAGAAUGAAUAAUAUGAUUUGAAUUUUGAUAACACUUACUAUAGCAUUGGCGUGCAAGCACCUUUUACAUUAGAUUAGGUGAUUCUCUAUCAUAAACAGAAAAUAGACAAUAUAUUAGGUGUAGCCGUAUGCUAGAGUUGUGCUAGAUUUGACCUUAGGUACAAAAUUGAUGGUGUACAUUAAUAUGUUAGGCUUAUGUUAAACUUGAAACUUCUCCCUUUGGUUAUUGGUGAAAAAAAAGUUAUUGUUCUUUUUUUGUACAGAUGGGGAAAGAAGAAAAAAAAAUCAAAGAAAACCAAGAAAAAAACACUCUCUUACGUAGUCAAUCCUCAUGGCAUUAGCUUCAAGAAUUGAAGGGAUGCUGGAAGGAGUUCAUGUCAAAGGUAGAUGGAUCGGAUCUCCACCACAUAACAUGGAAAACGGAUAUUUGUAUUAGCAAUAAGGAUGAGAACAUGUAAGGAAUCAAAGUAGCAAACAACAUUCUUAAAAUUUUGUCUCGUGGCUAGCUUUAAACGAUGAUGAAUUGCAGAUAGUUCAACAUGAGUAUUGUUAGAAUCAUCGAGAUAACCGCUAAACUCGUUAAUCCAAAGACAUUCCCUUGUCUGAAAAAUGCCACAAAAAUCAGUUAUGCCAACACCACUUAGAUAACUUCCAUCAACAUCCAACGCAUUACAAUCGAUGCGACAAGGAUGCCACACGAGAAAUCUUGGGAUUGAAAGGGUCCAUUAGCAGCUUGAAAGCACUGAUUCAACAAAGAGACAAGUUUGAAAGUUUCGGAAAUCACCAUGGUAUCGAGGAGGGGCUCUUUCCCGACAAACAUGGCAUUACGCGUCUACCAAUUCCACCAAAGACCAACUAAGAAGAGGGAAACAUUUGGACCAACACCGUUAGACUUGAUCCAAACAACAACACCUACCAUGGAUAUAAAAUAAUAAUAGUAAAACUGAGUAAAUGGCAAAGUUUAAAGGCAUAAGAACAAUCCCUCAAAGAGUGUAAGAUUGUUUCCUAAUGCUGCAAACAACGAUCACAUUAGUUAUCGUGAGCCAUUCUUCUAUGAUGGGGCAUAGAAAUAAUGGGGAUAUAAUGCUUGCAUAUAAGAGUGAGAAUAGGCUAAGUCGAGUUAGACUUUACAAGACCUAAGUUUGGUCUGUCAAAAAAUUUAAAGUCUAGUAUGUGGUUUGUCAUAUGCCUAAUAUUUAAGCUUGAGUCUGACCUUUUGAAAACUUGAUAUAACAUGC
rnacentral:lncRNA from 1 species